rnacentral:lncRNA from 1 species
CUUGCUCAAGAAAAAAAAUUGGGAAGGAAAAGGUUCCUAUACGUGAACUACCAAAUCAAUACCAGAGCCGAAAGAAACAAGCUCAACCCUUAAGAGUGCUGUCUACACGACUGAUCAAACAGAAGGGAGUAGAUGUAACUCAGUCGCUGGUUCAACAGCAAGGAACCAAUGCAGACGAGGUAACCUAGGUUAACGCCGAAGAUAUACAAGCAUCUUUCCCAUCGUUUCAACCUUGGGGACAAGGUGUGUCUG